AUUGAACGCUGGCGGCAGGCCUAACACAUGCAAGUCGAGCGGAGCGGCGGACGGGUUAGUAAUGCCUAGGAAUCUGCCUGGUAGUGGGGGAUAACGUCCGGCAACGCGAGCUAAUACCGCAUACUAUCAGAUGAGCCUAGGUAGGAUUAGCGAGUUGGUUGGUUAAAGGCCUCCCAAGGCGACGAUCCGUAACUGGUCUGAGAGGAUGAUCAGUCACACUAGAACUGAGACACGGUCCAGACUGCGACGGGAGGAAGCAGGGGGGAAGAUUGGACAAGGGUCGAAAGCCUGAUCCAGCCAUGCCUCGUGUGUGAAGAAGGUCUUCGGAUUGUAAAGCACUGUAAGUUGGGAGGCGUUACCAACAGAAUAAGCACCGGCUAACUUCGUGCCAGCCGCCGCGGUAAUAC
rnacentral:rRNA from 1 species